GAUGAACGCUGGCGGCGUGCUUAACACAUGCAAGUCGAACGGAAAGGCCGAAGCUUGCUUCGGUACUCGAGUGGCGAACGGGUGAGUAACACGUGGGUGAUCUGCCCUGUACUUCGGGAUAAGCUUGGGAAACUGGGUCUAAUACCGGAUAUGACAAUCUCUUGGAUGGGGUUGUGGAAAGCUUUUGCGGUAUGGGAUGGGCUCGCGGCCUAUCAGCUUGUUGGUGGGGUAAUGGCCUACCAAGGCGUCGACGGGUAGCCGGCCUGAGAGGGUGUACGGCCACAUUGGGACUGAGAUACGGCCCAGACUCCUACGGGAGGCAGCAGUGGGGAAUAUUGCACAAUGGGCGCAAGCCUGAUGCAGCGACGCCGCGUGGGGGAUGACGGCCUUCGGGUUGUAAACUCCUUUCGCAACCGACGAAGCUUUUUGUGACGGUAGGUUGAGAAGAAGCACCGGCUAACUACGUG
rnacentral:rRNA from 1 species